rnacentral:misc_RNA from 1 species
UGGAGGACAUUGAAUGCAAGCUCUUGCAGAACAUGCUUGGAGAAUGCUACCGCGUCCAUAUUGGGUUGUUUACCUUGGUCAGAGGGGAGGGCACUGUAUACUGGGUGUUUUAUGAGGUACUCGGACAGUAAUUUUCUCAAUGCAGAGCCAAGGAAUGGACGUUCAAAGGGGAAGGUCAUAGUGAUAGUGGUUUCAAUUGUCAGCUCUCUGGUGGUCUUAGGAGUUGGGGUAACUAUAGGAAUUUAU